CCAGGAUUCAGACGGUCAACACUGGGAACGAGAUCCUGGAAGAAGCACAUGCCAUCAGUUCCCCGAGGAGUGUCUUCACGGUUGAGGAGGAUGGAUGGUUUCUGCAGACCGUGGACACCGAAUGGUCUUGUGAGAGUCCUGACAUCCAAGAGGCCAAGAUCCCAGAAGACAACACUAGGGAUCAGGAGCUGGACGUGGAGAGCUUUGUCAGUUCCCCGAGCGUCCAGAGGCCAAGCACCGUGUUGAGGAGGCUGCAAAACACCACUGCUGACCAAGAGCCAUCCCUUGGAGAGAGUUCUUCCUUCCCGGGGGCCGAGACUCCACCCGCCAGCGUGGAGGACGAGGGGUCGGAAGGGGACUGUGCCACCAGUUCCCCCAG